rnacentral:rRNA from 1 species
UACGAGGGGGGCAAGCGUUGUUCGGAAUUAUUGGGCGUAAAGGGUGCGUAGGCGGUUUGGUAAGUCUUAUGUGAAAUCUACAGGCUCAACUUGUAGUCUGCAUGAGAAACUGCCGGGCUUGAGUAUGGGAGAGGUGAGUGGAAUUCCUGGUGUAGCGGUGGAAUGCGCAGAUAUCAGGAGGAACACCAAUAGCGAAGGCAGCUCGCUGGGACGUUACUGACACUGAGGCGCGAAAGCGUGGGGAGCGAACAGG